rnacentral:rRNA from 1 species
CCUACGGGCGGCAGCAGUGGGGAAUAUUGGACAAUGGGGGGAACCCUGAUCCAGCCAUGCCGCGUGUGUGAAGAAGGCCCUCGGGUUGUAAAGCACUUUCAGUGAGGAAGAACGCCUGGUGGUGAAUACCCAUCAGGAAAGACAUCACUCACAGAAGAAGCACCGGCUAACUCCGUGCCAGCAGCCGCGGUAAUACGGAGGGUGCGAGCGUUAAUCGGAAUUACUGGGCGUAAAGCGCGCGUAGGUGGCUUGAUAAGCCGGUUGUGAAAGCCCCGGGCUCAACCUGGGAACGGCAUCCGGAACUGUCAAGCUAGAGUGCAGGAGAGGAAGGUAGAAUUCCCGGUGUAGCGGUGAAAUGCGUAGAGAUCGGGAGGAAUACCAGUGGCGAAGGCGGCCUUCUGGACUGACACUGACACUGAGGUGCGAAAGCGUGGGUAGCAAACAGGAUUAGAUACCCUUGUAGUC